CUCAGCCAUAGCUGGGCUCCUGUGGCAGCUGCAUGUGCAACUUUUGGAAGCUAAAAUUCAUCUGUUUCUCCAUGAUGUGCUUGUUAAGAGGUGAAAUAUCUGGAAAAAAAAUAGACUUUUUGUGAGAAUAAUAAAAAAAGAAAAAAAAAAGAAACUGACCAAUAAGAAAGCAUCCAGCCUGGAUCUCAGCUGCAAAGGAGAAAAGUUCUUGUGCCUGUCUUGCCUGGAGUGCUGGCCUUGCUGGACUCAACCCAUUUGCCACCAGUGGAUUAAAACUGAGACCCAAAACACCAGCGAGAUUGAGAAUUCUUCAAAGUGAUUUACGCACAAUUCUUAGCACAGCUGUUUGCUGGGGGUGUGUGCUCUGUGUGGGGGAUCUAUCAGCAGUCUGG
rnacentral:lncRNA from 1 species